rnacentral:rRNA from 1 species
GACGAACGCUGGCGGCGUGCUUAACACAUGCAAGUCGAACGGAAAGGCCUGCUUUCCCUUGUGGAUUGCGGGUACUCGAGUGGCGAACGGGUGAGUAACACGUGAGUGAUCUGCCCCCAACUUGGGUAUAAGCCUGGGAAACUGGGUCUAAUUCCCGAUAGGACUGCAGGGUGGUGCCUGUGGUGGAAAACGAUUUUCUAGUGGUUGGGGAUGAGCUCGCGGCCUAUCAGCUUGUUGGUGGGGUAAUGGCCUACCAAGGCGGCGACGGGUAGCCGGCCUGGGAGGGUGGACGGCCACAUUGGGACUGAGAUACGGCCCAGACGCCUACGGAAGGCAGCAGUGGGGAAUAUUGCACAAUGGGCGGAAGCCUGAUGCAGCGACGCCGCGUGGGGGAUGACGGCCUUCGGGUUGUAAACUCCUUUCGACCGCGAGGAAGCCACCUGGUUGGAAGGGUGGUGACGGUAGUGGUAGAAGAAGCACCGGCUAACUACGUG